rnacentral:misc_RNA from 1 species
GCUGAUGAUAGUAAUAUGCAUAGUUUAGAGUUUUUUGAUGAGAUUCAGAAAGUGAAAUGGAUUGGUGCUCUAUCGGUGGGCAUUCUUGCUCAUUCAGGUGGUGUGGAGGAGGAGAUAUCAACAGUUCAGAAAGAGGAAGAUAAGAAUUUGCAAUUGCCAGUUCAGGGUCCAGCUUGUAAUUCGUCAGAUCAUUUUGUUGGCUGGCACACCUUUGAUUCGUCUCAAUACGUGGAGAAGAGUGCCAGAUACAUUGGUGACAGGGCAGUUGUGCUGCCAAGGAAGCUUGAGUGGGCUGGCUUUGUGUUGAAUUCCAGAUUAGUCUGGAAAGAUGCUGAAGAUAAGCCUGAAUGGGUUAAGGAUUUGGAUGAUGUAGUGGGAGACAGGGAAGAUGUUGAGAACCCUCUAUCUUUGCUGAAGGAUCUUUCAAUGGUGGAGCCUCUCGGAAGUUGUGGGCGCAAAAUUAUGCUGUGGUGGCUACGGGUUGAAGCACGAGCAGACAGCAAAUUCCCUGCCAGAUGGAUCAUUGACCCUCCACUAGAUGUGACUGUCCCAGCAAAACGCACACCAUGGCCGGAUGUUCCUCCAGAGCUUCCUUCUGGUGAAAAGUUGGUCACUAUGCAAGAGCACACCGAGAAGCGCCCACCAAAAACACGAUCAAGAAAACGUAGUUCUCGGGGAAAGAGAAAGCACGCAGCAAAGAACAUUGACGACCAUCAUUCAACCAGGCAAUCAGCGGAGAACAAGUAAUAAUCAUCUGUGAAUUCAGCAAGUUUGAAAACCACGCUACUAUCCUUUGUCUCGUAAAUAGGAGAAGGCAUUUCUUACAAUAGCAAUUAAAAUACAUACUACCUGUCCUUCAUUCAAUUAUAUCUUUGUAUUCUUUCCCACUUCUUCUGUCCUAUUUUUGGUCUUUAGUCUUUUGUGUAAUUGAAUUGUUUCUGAGUUAGAAGGUGUUGGUGAUUUUGUUGUUGUCACUGUUACCAGACUCCUUUCUUGCCAAAAGCUUUG